GAGGUUCCUCAGAGGGGGAAGGGGAGGACGAUCCUACUCAGUGAAUUUCAUAAAAAUAAAAAUAGUGAAACAUUAAAAAAGUGAUCCUUUAUAGAUAAAACUAUAGUAAAUAUAUUCAGGUGCCCAAAUAACUGAGUAAAACACACUGUUUUGCAAUGAAGGUCUACAGUAGCCUCAACAGCACUCUCUGGUGUAGCACCAUCUCACCCCUUUCCAUCGACUUAUUGUAAUUAUGCCAACUUCUGGAGGAUGUCCUCCAACCUAUCAGAGCUUUUGCAGCAUGAAAAUACAUGUUGUCCACUGAAUCAGAGGAUCAGAUAAUGAAUCUAGUACUGAAAGCAAAGCUAACACUGCAGUGCAUAAAAUGUGGUGUGUAGUUGACUCAGAGCUAGAAAGACAAUAGUUGAACAGUUAACAAAUAUAUUUUUUCAAAAAUUAAGGAGAAGAGAGUAUUUUUUUCCACUUUCACUUACUAGCUAAUUUAGCCUACUUAUACAUCCGGCUCAAUGGAACUCUUCCAAGUCAAGGUAUUUGGCUUCUGGAGACUAUUUGCAGCCUGGCCUUCGCCUAUCGUCUUGGAUUCGAGACAGUGUCGCAGUGCAUUAUGGAGACCUGUGAGGCCAUAGAGAGGAAGAUGCUGGCGAUCCAUCUGCCAUGACCCACUGAGGAAACCUGGAGACAAACUUCAAGAGUUUCAUGAAAAAUGGGACUUUCCCAAUUGUUUGGGAUCGGUUGAUGGAAAACAUGUUAUGAUCACCAAACCACCAAACUCAGGGAGACGUUUUUUUAAAUUAUAAAGGAACCUUCUGUGGUGUUACUCGCCCUUGUGGAUGCCAAUUACCACUUCACAGCUAUUCAAGUGGGGGAUUUUGGGAGAAACAGUGAUGGAGGAGUCUAUGCCAACUCCCCACUUGGAAGGGCAAUGGCAUCAAAAACACUGCAGGUGCCUUUCUGCCUGGGGGUGAAGAUUUAGGAAAGAUACCAUACACAUUGGUGGUGCACGCUGCCUUCCCACUAAAGCCCUACCUGAUGAGGCCAUAUGCCGGGCAUAACAUCAGCUACGAGAAAGAAAUCUUCAACUAUUGUCUCUGUCGAAUGACAGUGGAGAAGGCAUUCGGGAUCCUUGCGGCCAGAUGGAGAAUCCUCUACCAAAAAUAAACCUACUGCCAAGCGAGGUUGAUACCCUAGUGGUUGCAAUGUGCAUCCUCAAUUUCCUCACAAGCCUUUUGAUGUGGAGAUGUGGUUACAGCAAGGUGGGGCAGGGAUGAGGCAAGGCAUGAGAGGCAUAGCCAUCCAGGCCAAUAGAGCAGGUCAGGAGGCAGUUUCUGUCAGACAAAAGUUUACUAAGUAUUUCACCUCUGUGGAAGGCAAAAUUGACUUCCAGGACAGAAUGGUUGUAGCUAGGCCUACUUACUUAGAUGCACUGUGUGAGAGUGUGUGUGUGUGUAGUUUAUCAACUCGGGAUAGUAAGUUCAACUUUGACAUCUUCAUUUGUUUUGUGUAUUCAUUCUACACUUUAAAACGAUUGUACAAUUCCACCAUUAUUUCAACAACGAACAAAAAAUGUACAUGAACAUUUGAAAAAUUGAAAUACUUGUAAUUUUCAACAACACAAAAAUCUCACAUGACUGUUGGCUUCAGAGGAUUUAUGUAUUAAUAAAAGCAUACAGCACACAUGGCAUUUACAUUCAGCUAACGCUAGCUAGUUUGUUUUAUACCGAGGAUGAACAUUGGGUUGUUAUACUUUACCUGAAAUGUGCAUGGUCUUUGCAAUCUCUCUCCAUAACGCAUCUUUAUUAGUUGGAUCCUUGUUGAAUUUUGAAGACGGGUCAUAUAAAAGUGAGUACUUCUCUACUUCAACGAUAAAUCUCUCCUCGUCCAUGUUUCAAGCACCCACGUUGGCUUUUGUUUACAGGAAGUAGGGGACGGACGUAUGUUUGUUGUGAGAACCAAUGAGUUUAUGAGAGGCGGAACUUCCAGACUUGAUAUGUCGGUUUGCAACCAAUUUAAGGUGCAUUCCGCCACCAACUGGACUGGAGUGUGUACCUUGCAGUUAGUCUUUCAGUCACACACGUGGGUAUAACCAAUAAGGAGAUGACACAUGAGUACCUGACAAACCAAUGAGGAGAUGGGAGAGGCAGGACUUCAGUGCAAUCUGUGUCAGAAAUAGAAUUGAUUUCUAUUUUAGCCCUUGCGUCACAGACGCUCGCGAGCAGUGGGUGCAAUAAUUGAAUAACAUGGAUUUCUAAAUUUAUUUUGCAACACUUGGGCACGCGACGUGUCCGUGUAAUGGUUUUCUUGAGUUGAAGGAGAGGCGGACCAAUACGCAGCGUGGUUACUAUUCAUGGUUCUUUAAUAAAGCAACAACGCAUGAACAAAUUAACAAAACAAGUGAAAAAAAAAAAAACCCAAAACAGCCCUAUCUGGUGCAAACACAGAGACAAGAACAAUCACCCACAAAACCCAACACCGAACAGGCUACCUAAAUAUGGUUCCCAAUCAGAGACAAUGACUAACACCUGCCUCUGAUUGAGAACCAUAUUAGGCCAGACAUAGAAAUAGACAAACAAGACAUCCAACAUAGAAUGCCAACUCAGAUCACACCCUGACCAAACAAAACAUAAAAACAUACAAAGCAAACUAUGGUCAGGGUGUGACAGUCUGGUCUGGUCAGCAUGUUAUGAUUAACUUAGACUCAGCAAAUGAAGAUAAGUAAAAUAUUUUUCAGUGGGUUAUACUAGACUAGGUCAGUGUGUUAAUGCUGCUGGACCCCAGAGUACUGAACAAUGUCUAGCUAAUCUAACACAUCUGUUUCAACUCAUGAAGACAGAACUAUGUCAGAGAGAUGCCUAUAUUGUCCAUUACUGUGCUGGGUCGGAGAAGGACUGAGAAACAUUUGAGUAAGCUGGUUCGAUUGCACAUGUGAAGAUUUGGGAUUUCUGUUUAAAACCAGGUAUACGUGGCAGAGCAAAAAUAUGUGAAACUGUCUGAGCUGACAUUUGAUUCUUUCUUGAAAGAAGGCGUGUGUGCGUUACCUUAGGUUUGAUGGUGCCUUUAGUUAGUUAAGUUGUAUUUUUCUUCAUAUUGACACUAGUCCCCAACUAUUUCACCUUGACACACAAUGUCUGUGUUUUUUUUCUUCUUCAGUUUUCAUCAAAUUCAGCAUACCAGAGGAAAGACAGUCUGACAUCAACGUGUAUGACCAGUCUCACACAGAAAUUGACUCAGAGGUGUUUGAAGGGAUUGCAAAGGAGUCACCUGGCACCUUCUGGACCACUCUAGGCGAUGAAGGACUUGCUUUUCAAUCAUCAUCGUCAUCCUCUGUAAGAUCUGAUGACACUAAUUCUGAAUUUCACUGUGUGACCAUCAUGAAGAAGCAGCCACUGGUGAAGGGAGCCAACCCAAAAGAUAGUGCCAGAUAAACUAAGGCUAAAGCGGAACAUUACUAUGAUCAAGAGAGUGGGUCUGGAUACAUGGCAUGAUUGAAGACCAUACAAAAAAAAGCACAUUUCCCGAAGUUGGUGGGCCAGGCCAUGGUCGAUAGCCCUUUCACCCGUGACGAAGUGCCAACUAACGAAGACAUCGAGGCAGCCAUUGCUGUUUUUAGAUUUUCUGCUGAUGAAGACUCUGUCCGGGAGAAGAUGAAGACUGCCUUCCCUCAUUGCCAAGCUGAUGCAGACAAAUCAGCAGAUGUCUUCUCAGUCUUCCCCAGGGUAUUGGAUAUACCAGGACUGAUAGAACAAGACUUCAGGCUUCUGUUUGGUGAGGCCACAACCAACAAGUUCUUGGAGAAGUGGCCAACCACUUUCAAGGGAAAAGUGAUGGAAAGUGAUGGACUUACACCCACCACAGAACUCUUGGAAUUGAUGUGCAAUGCUGAGUCAGCUGUUGAAAAUGAGAAUGGACAGAUGUCUGCAUGUCAAGGGGUUGAUCAGCUCAUCAGAUUUCAAAAGGUUGGAACCAGUGUGCAGCAGCAUCUGGAUAGCAUCACCCAAAGCGGUCAGCCCUACCUUCUUGCCUUGGGAUCCAUAAAGAGCAGCAUUCACUCCUACUUUGUUGUGAUCGACAAGCAUGCGGUUCCAGUAGGAACCUUUGACGAACUCUUUAAGGCUCACUUCAUCGUUGGUACAUCAUACAGUUCUUGCCUGAGUAACUUCUUCACUUUUGUGCAAACAACCAUCUACAACAUUGAUAUGGGGGAAACAAAGGAGACUCCCCAAGUUGCUGAGUUGAGAGCAAGAAUGUUGCGUUAGUGAAGAUCUGCUAAGGUGAAAUUAUGAAGUGUUUUCUAUGCAAGACUGAGCAUACAAGUUCCGCUUCAAGUGUCAAUCAGAAAAUUAUGAUUGUAUAAUAAUAAUAAUAAUUGUCAAGCACCUUAAAGUAAUUAAUGGACUUUGUCCAGGGAGAACUCUUUAUCUAAAAUGUGGUCAAGUGGGAUGUUCACGUUCCUUUGGUAGCUUUUCUGGUUUUAGAAAGCAUUUAAGUAAUUGCCACAUUAGCAGUUUAUUUGGUUCAGUCGGUGGUGUUGAUUUUUCAAACUCUCAAAGCACCUUUAACACUUGUAAAGGUAGUGAUGUUGGAGAAGUGUUGACUGAAAAUGUAGAGUGAGUCAGCGACGUCUUCCCCAGACAUUGUAAAUAGUUGUGCGUCUGUAAUUGCUGAUCUAAAGGCAGCAGGUGUAGGUCAAAGUACAGUUAAUUCUGUUGUGAAUUCCAUGGAAGAGAGAGUUCAUGAUAUCCAACAGCGAGCUAAAUAAACUUUCGUUAAGCAUGUUCUAUGUGAUGAAGGACAAACUGAAAUAUCCAAGAAAGGAGGCAUCUUUUGAAGGGUUAGAGAAUCCUUUCACUGUGCUAAAUUCUGAAUACAAGAUGUCCACAUUUUUCAGAGAAGUGGGAAACUGUAGAACCAGUUGAACAUGUCAUUGGCUCAAGAUUUGACACAAGACGAAACAAAAAGACUGGAACAUAUGACCAGAUUGUAGUUCAAGACAAAUUCAUGUAUGUUCCAAUAUUGUCUACCUUGCAGUCAAUAUUCAAAUGUAAACAUGUUUCAGAGAUGUUUCGCUUUCCUAGUGACACAAGACUUGUGUGAUGGAUCUUUUAUUAGGAGUCACCCUCUUUUCUCAACAGAAAGACACGUCAUACAGAUUCAAUUGUUCUAGGAUUAUUUUAAGGUUGCAAACCCUGUGGGUUUCAAGUGAGGAUUUCAUAAAUUGGGUGCUAUAUAUUUUACUUUAAGGAACUUCUCUCCUAAAUGGAAUUCUUGUUGGGCUAACAUAUACCUGUGUGCCUUAAUUCAUGCUCAAGAUCUUAAAUGUUAUGGAUUAGGGCAAUCCUUGCUCCUAUUGUUUGAGACAUUAAAGUGUUAGAGUGAUGGCAUUGUGGUUCCUUUAUACAGUGGUUGUGUUCAUGGCAGUGUGGUUCAGGUUACUGGCGAUAAUCUGGGUCUACAUAGUUUGUUUGGCCUGGUGGAGUCUUUCAGCGCAAGUUAUUGCUGUCUUGCAGAAAAAGAUGACUCAGACAGAAUUCUCUGAAGAUUGUCCCAAGAUAGCGUUGUGAACUAAAGAAAUGCACACUGCUCACUGUCAGAGAAUGAAUAGAAAUCCAUCUCUUCCAUACGUUUUUGGUGUGACGCAUUCGUGUUUAUUAAACUGAGUAUUAUCACAGAACUGAGAACUUCUCAGUUGAUGUGAUGCAUGAUGUGUUAGAGGGUGUGGCCCAGUACGAGUUGAAGUUAUUUAUCUGAAGAAAAAACAUGUAACAUCAGCAGAAUUAGAUUUAAGAAUACAAAGUUUGAUUAUGAUUAAUGGAAAGAAACAAACCCGUGGCUGUGAAUUUAUCAGAAGGAUCGAAUGAUUUGGGGCUUAAUGCAAUUCAGUCACAGUGCCUACUGAGAAACGCUCCUCUUAUUUUGGGGGAUUUGGUAACUUCUACUGAACAGCACUGGGGCCUACUCCUUUUAUUACUUUAAAUAGUUAACAUAAUAUUUUCUCCUAUGUUAACAGAGGGUCUCUGUGUUUAUUUAAACAGUUGUUUUCCCAGAGAGAACUUUUACCAAAGCACCAUUUUCUAAUCCAUUAUCCCCGCUGCAUCUAGAAAAUUGGACCUGUAAUUCAUAGUUGGUGUAUGCAGUAUGAAGGUAAGCAUGCUUUUUUGAAACUACAAUCUUAAAUAAAAAUUUCAAAAAACUAUAUGGCGUAUAAUUGGCAAUCCUCUACACUUUUUAGUCAAUAAGACAUUGGUCCUGUGAAAUGGUGCCUUUGAAUAUGGUAAAAGCUGGUUCUAUGAUUGCUGUGGCAAUUAGCACUCAGGUUAUGAAAGUGGACUGGGCUAAAUACCAUGGCUUUGUUUACCGCCCAAGCAUGUUAUCUGUUGUAAAAUUGAAUUUGAAAUGCCUCCGUUUUAUCAAAUGGAAAAGUGUUGCUGCUCACAGUGCCUUUAAUUACUCUAGCUUUUCAAGAACAUUUCAAUGUGUACAAAGUAACCAAGUCAAAACAUGGUUUUGUUUUCUUUCAUGUCCGACAACCUGCAUUAUCAUAGACCAUUUGAUAUACAAAUGUCGUAUGGAAGGAAUUAGAUAUCUAUUUGUUGUCCCAUAUUGCUUUCUCUGGUGAGCAUGUCACUUGCGAUGUUGACAGUGUAAAUGGUUACAUUGAUUAAAGGCAAGGUGAGGGGUGGGUUGAUGUGCAUUAACAUUGAAAUGGAUUACUUUUAUCAUGUGUAAUUGUGUUUAUUCACAUUGACACCAAGUUAAGUAAUUGGGUAAUACUACUGUGCAGUGGAGCUUUCUGGAUAACACUAGAGAAAAAAAAACAAGUGUCAAUUUUAACACAACUUUGAGUAUACUUGACUCUGAAAAGCGUGAUUAAAUAACACUGCAGAGUGCAACUAAACCAUUGUUGAAUAUGAUUACACGUGUGAAUUUUAACACCAUUUUGAGUCAAAUUAACUCUGAAAAUGUGACACUGUAGACUGGGACCAAAUGUUACCUGAAACAGUGUUGAAUUCAACUCAAAAGGAGUUAAAUUAACACUUAUUUUUACUGUGUAUUUGAACUAAGCAAGCAAUUAAAAUGUUCAGUUUGCAUCU
ensembl:lncRNA